GUUUUGUUUGACUGUUGAGAACUGCAGCUAUAUGUGCUGAAGUUACUUAAUCAAAGGUGCUGACAGAUGCAGAAGAAAGAUAUCCUGUCUCUAUUCUUGCACCCUUCACCAUUGCCUCCUAUCAUAACUUCAGAGAAUUCAGUAUCUGGAUAACUGAAAGAUAUGAUGCAGAGUUGGGAGCAAGAGGCCAUCUUAACCGGCAGAAACCUUGAAUCCUCUUCUGCAUCAAGUCACAGCUUUAACACAAGGACUGCAAAAGGUAUCCACUGACUGGAGCCAACAGGCUGGUGGGCUGAAAUACUUUUGGCUACAGAGAAGGGAUUUAACUUGGACCCCAUUAAGUGACUGUAGUUGGAAGGUGUGACUUUGGGCUGAAUGGCUUUAAGUAGUUUAUAGGAAACCUUGUGGUAGUGAUAAAACUGGUGUAGUAAUUUCUAUUCAAAGCUUUAAAACUGGAGGCAUAUUAAACAGAUAUUGUAUCAAGAAAAUUAAUCUGUAGCUAUUGAUUAAAGUUUCUGCAGACACAAAAAGAACUAUAAAAGUAAAUGUUUUUUAUUAAACCUUUGUCCUGUUAAAUGACAGGAAUCUACAUUCAACUAGCACAGUGUGAUUUACGGUAACAAGAAAACUUGAGGCAGAAACUAAUUUUCCACAU